rnacentral:rRNA from 1 species
GACGAACGCUGGCGGCGUGCUUAACACAUGCAAGUCGAGCGGAAAGGCUCCUUCGGGGGUACUCGAGCGGCGAACGGGUGAGUAACACGUGAGUAAUCUGCCCUGCGCUCUGGGAUAGCCACCGGAAACGGUGAUUAAUACCGGAUAUGACCGCUACACGCAUGUGUUGGUGGUGGAAAGUUUUUCGGCGCAGGAUGUGCUCGCGGCCUAUCAGCUUGUCGGUGAGGUAAUGGCUCACCAAGGCUUUGACGGGUAGCCGGCCUGAGAGGGUGACCGGUCACACUGGGACUGAGACACGGCCCAGACUCCUACGGGAGGCAGCAGUGGGGAAUAUUGGACAAUGGGCGGAAGCCUGAUCCAGCAACGCCGCGUGAGGGAUGACGGCCUUCGGGUUGUAAACCUCUUUCAGUACCGACGAAGCGAAAGUGACGGUAGGUACAGAAGAAGGACCGGCCAACUACGUGCCAGCAGCCGCCGUAACAC